rfam:Candidatus Collierbacteria bacterium RIFOXYB1_FTLL_49_13 rifoxyb1_full_scaffold_5001, whole genome shotgun sequence.
UGCGAGAUCUGCUAAUGGUAGGCAGCUUGACUCUGAAUCAAGUAAUCUAGGUUCGAAUCCUAGUCUCGCAA